rnacentral:rRNA from 1 species
CGUAGGAGACGAGCGUUAUCCGGAUUUACUGGGCGUAAAGCGUGUGCAGGCGGUUCGGCAAGUUGGAUGUGAAAUCUCCCGGCUCAACUGGGAUGGGUCGUUCAAUACUACCGAACUUGAGGUCAUCAGAGGAAGGUGGAAUUCCGGGUGUAGUGGUGAAAUGCGUAGAUAUCCGGAGGAACACCAGUGGCGAAGGCGGCCUUCUGGGAUGAUCCUGACGCUCAGACACGAAAGCUAGGGGAGCGAACGGGAUUAGAGACCCCGGUAGUCCUAGCUGUAAACGAUGUAGACUUGGCGUCGGAGGGUUCAAAACCUUCGGUGUCGUAGCUAACGCGAUAAGUCUACCGCCUGGGGACUACGGCCGCAAGGUUA